rnacentral:tRNA from 1 species
GGAGGGGUGCCAGAGCGGUUGAAUGGGGCGGUCUCGAAAACCGUUGUGCGCGUGAGUGUACCGAGGGUUCGAAUCCCUCUCCCUCCGCCA